rnacentral:lncRNA from 1 species
AAGAGGACAUGGAAAAUCUCUUCGUCAUGUUUUUGGUAUGAAUUAUUUAUUUAUUUGUCAUUUUUUCCAUAUGUCAUUUUUUUGUUUUUAUGUAGUGCUACUUCUCAUUUGAAGACAUUCAAUUGACUCGUUAAUGUUUUGAUAAUUAUAUUCAAUUGAAUUAUAAAGCGAGACAAGAGGCAAAAAAGUUAGCCAAAGUUGACAAACUCACCAGAUCUUAUGCUCGAUUUCCACCCAUAUACCUUUCUGCGGAAGUAUGGAGUGAUAUGGUAGAUAGUAGGUUAAAAGAAGAUUGGCAAAAAAGAUCUGAAAAAGCAACAGAAAAUUGAAAAACCAAUCCAGAUUACAUGCCAUACACUAGUGGAUCUUGUUCAGUUGCGGCCACUCAUCAAAGAAUGGUAAAAAAAGAAUUCUUUCAUAUAAUUGUGUAUGAGAAUCAGAAUGAAGAAGCUGGUCAUGAGGUUGGUCACUGUGAGGUUUACAAACGAUUGGGCUUAUCCAAAAGGAGGAUGCUUCAUUGUAAGAAAAUUUGUUAGAAAUGCUUCGUUGUAAGUAUUUUAACAAAUUUAAGUCAUAUUAUUUAUUUUCAUUUUUAUAGGCUGACUAUCAUGAGCUUCAUAUUUUCUUUGUAAUCUCAAUAUCAUUUAUUUAAUUUUUUUUUCCAUUAGGGUGAGUCGAGCCAAGGAUUUAACAACAUAGUCACGCCAAUUACAAGAGAUUCGAAUGUUCAAAAUGUUGGCAACAAUACGACUAAUAGCGUGACUGAUACAAACAAAUAGGUUUCUCUUUUUAUAUAUUUGGUUUGGUAUUGUAUUGAAUGGUAUGUUGGCAAUAGGUUUGGUAUUGUAUUGAAUGGUAUGUUGGUAGUAUGUUGACACCAAUAUUACUUCUGAAUUUUUGUAUUGAAUGGUAU